GAACAUAGAAGCAACAAAGGCGAUUUGAACAUCAAAAACACCAUGAUAACCCAUUUGCUAUCUAUGCAAGAAUCUCAGCCGGAAUAUUAUACUGAUGAAAUCAUCAAAGGACUCAUACAAGUCAGUUGGAAUUUUCUAACUCCUUUAUUAUUUGAUUCCUACAUGCUUUUUCAGAAAUCUCUAGAAAAGAGGAAUGAUAAGCAUCAUGAAUUUUUAUAUUUUAUAAUUAUUGAGGAUCAGACAAACUGGACUUUGGUGAUCGAUGAUAACAUUCUUAGCGUACUUUUUAAUUCUUUUCUUCUUCCCAGUUUUGUCUUUUCUUUUAUUUUUAGAGUUAUAAACUUAUCCUGUAAAUUUAUUAUAUAUUUAGGUUAACAGCUACCAUAGCUUUUUUUUUUUUUUUUUUUGAAGUAUUUGGUGUUUGAUAUUUGUAUCUAUUAUAUAUAUAUAUUGAAUAAAUUUAUUAUAAUGCUUAGAAUUACCGGUGGUCUCUCCUCAACUCAAAAAUAAGAUGAUAAUGCAUUCGAACUCACUUUUUCUUACAUUGGUAACAAUAUCCAUACUA
rnacentral:lncRNA from 1 species